GAAACGUCCCAGGCAGAGAGACACCCAGUGGAAAGGCCCUGAGGGCCUGGGGGUGCGAGCCUUAAACUUGCUCUUUGGAGCUCUGGCCAUCUUCCACCUGGCCUACCUGGGCUCCCUGUUUGAUGUCGAUGUGGACGACACCACAGAGGAGCAGGGCUACGGCAUGGCAUACACCGUCCACAAGUGGUCAGAGCUCAGCUGGGCCAGUC
rnacentral:lncRNA from 1 species